rnacentral:rRNA from 1 species
UACGAAGGUCCCAAGCGUUAUCCGGAUUUAUUGGGUUUAAAGGGUGCGUAGGCGGGUUAUUAAGUCAGUGGUGAAAGCCUGCAGCUUAACUGCAGAAUUGCCAUUGAUACUGAUGAUCUUGAGUAUGAUUGAGGUGGGCGGAAUGUGUCAUGUAGCGGUGAAAUGCUUAGAUAUGACACAGAACACCGAUUGCGAAGGCAGCUCACUAAGUCAUAACUGACGCUGAUGCACGGAAGCGUGGGGAGCAAACAGG